UACGGGGGGGGCAAGCGUUGUUCGGAAUUACUGGGCGUAAAGGGCUCGUAGGCGGCCAACUAAGUCAGACGUGAAAUCCCUCGGCUUAACCGGGGAACUGCGUCUGAUACUGGAUGGCUUGAGUUUGGGAGAGGGAUGCGGAAUUCCAGGUGUAGCGGUGAAAUGCGUAGAUAUCUGGAGGAACACCGGUGGCGAAGGCGGCAUCCUGGACCAACACUGACGCUGAGUGAGCGAAAGCGUGGGGAGCGAUCCGG
rnacentral:rRNA from 1 species